AUUAAACGCUGGCGGCAUGCCUUACACAUGCAAGUCGAACGGUAGCGCGGGGCAACCUGGCGACGAGUGGCGAACGGGUGAGUAAAGCAUCGGAACGUGCCCUGGAAUGGGGGAUAACGUAGCGAAAGUUACGCUAAUACCGCAUAUUCUGUGAGCAGGAAAGCAGGGGAUCGCAAGACCUUGCGUUCUGGGAGCGGCCGAUGUCGGAUUAGCUAGUUGGUGGGGUAAAAGCCUACCAAGGCGACGAUCCGUAGCGGGUCUGAGAGGAUGAUCCGCCACACUGGGACUGAGACACGGCCCAGACUCCUACGGGAGGCAGCAGUGGGGAAUUUUGGACAAUGGGCGGAAGCCUGAUCCAGCCAUGCCGCGUGAGUGAAGAAGGCCUUCGGUGUAAGCUCUUCGUGGGAGAAUAG
rnacentral:rRNA from 1 species